GCCUACGGGGGGCAGCAGUAGGGAAUCUUCCACAAUGGGCGAAAGCCUGAUGGAGCAACGCCGCGUGGGUGAAGAAGGUCUUCGGAUCGUAAAACCCUGUUGUUAGAGAAGAAAGUGCGUGAGAGUAACUGUUCACGUUUCGACGGUAUCUAACCAGAAAGCCACGGCUAACUACGUGCCAGCAGCCGCGGUAAUACGUAGGUGGCAAGCGUUAUCCGGAUUUAUUGGGCGUAAAGCGAACGCAGGCGGUCUUUUAAGUCUGAUGUGAAAUCCUUCGGCUUAACCGGAGAACUGCGUU
rnacentral:rRNA from 1 species